AGUCCCCUUGGGAAAUGAAAAUUGUAAAAAGGAAACCAACCCUGUAAAUUUAGUAGUGUUAAAAAUCUCCCCGUAUUCACUUUUCCAAUUGCUGUUAUACCUGAGAGUAUUGUCUCUGUGUCAUUGCUCGUUGGCACAUUUUUUUCACUCCACACUUUGAAAUAUGAAUCUAUUACAGAAGGAUCAUGUUGGUGAGGCACUGGGGAUGAAUAAGUUAGGAACAGUAAUUAGUUUUCAGACAUUCCAUUUGAGGGUGGCAAUGCAUUUUUUUUCCCCAAAAAUAAUUUCCUUCCAAGCAGUGGGUUUAUAAUAAGAGUUUAGUUUGACUAAACUUGCACAUUCUUAGUGGACUGUCUUUAUCUUCUUGACACAUUUCCCAAUUUCAUUGUGUUGUUUCUCCUGCUCACAUUUCCCACAAAUGAUUUCCUCUUCUAGAAGUGCAGCCUGUGACACCGACUCCUUAUGUCUGAGCUGUGAAGCCUUUCCAGCUUAGACAACAACAACAACACACAACUUCUUAAUCCAUCCCAAAGCUCUUCCACCCAAAUGCCCUGCCUUUUCCACUGCCGUGGUUAUUGGAAAUGUGAUAAGACUUGCCUUCCCUCAUUUCUACUUCCUUACUCUUCUCUUCAAUCCACAGUCUGGCUUCUGUUCUGCCCACUCUGCAAAAUUUCUCCCAACACUGGCCAAUGGUCUUUUGUGCUCAAUGGAGGGGCCAUUUCUCAGACUCUCACUGGCCACCUAGGUGGCAUUUGACCUUGUUGAUCACACCCUCUCUAAUAACCUAUCCAACUGAUAUUUGGCUUAAAUAUCAGCUCCUCCAAGAUGACUUGCUGGACCUCUCUGAGUCUGGGAAUGUAUUUCCACAGCAUCUGCAUUUCCAGCGUAACUUUGGAACCGUUUGAAAAAGUCUACUCAUUUAUCUGUCCUGCCUCCUUUGUGCCCCUCAUGCCUCGCACAUCCAGGACACAUAAUCUUAUUUUCCUCGAUUUUCUUUCGGUUUCAAGUAGCACAUCUUUUCUCAAGUUUAAGCACAUGGAGGAUUUCUUACUGUGAUGCAGUGAUAUGUCUUGGUCAAAAAGCAGGAAGUGCCACCAUACCACCAUACAUUGUAGGUAUGUAGCGGUAUGAUACAGUUUAUCAUAGAUGUACUGUGCCCUCUGGGGCCAAAGAACCGUGAGCUUCAGUGCCUUUCUCUGUUUUGGUCCCAUUUCUUCCCCUGCGCAUCACCUUCUCUGUCCUUCCUCUGAGUUUAUAGGUCCUCUGUGCCCGGGGAGUGGGCACAAGUGGAGGAGACCCCCUAAGGGUCUAUGGACUACUCACAUGAGCCUGGAAGGCCCUUUAAUCUGUGUCCAUUUCAGCACCUGCUUCAAAAUCUGGGGAAUGAUUGAACGUCUCUCUCCCAGUCAUCUCUCAUUUCCGUAAGCCAUCUAAUAAACUCUCAAAGCACCCAUGCUCCUUACUGACAAGAAAGAGCUUUUAUCCAGCAGAGCCUCAACCUUUCUCUCCACUUCCUUUAUUCCCACCAUGGGAUAUAUUGUCCUUAUCCAAAGAGCUAUUUUUAUCUACAAAGAGUUCCUUAUGGAGUCUGGGUUGACCAUCAUCUUCUCAUUCUGGUUUAAAACGUGGAGAAAAUUGACUCAAUACUUAUAUUAGUCAGUUGUUGCUACAAUAAGCCAUGUGAUGCAGAGUGGCCCAAUUCUCAGGGGCUUGUAGCCACGGUUACGUCUUCUUCCUGCUCAUGGACCUGGAGGAGUGGAGGUCGGCCUGACUUUGGCUGAUCAUGGAGCAACCACGCUUGCGUCUGCUCCUUCCAGGACCUGAGUUGAAGGGCCAGGGGCUUCGUGGGGUUUGCUCUUCCCAGGAAGAAUCCCGAAUAGAAGUGCGAGAUGCUUCUGCAGGCCUGGGCACAGACUUGGCAUCUGUCCUGUUGUUUAAAGCCACAGACAGGGCAAUCAAUUACCGUCAUCCUAGAUGUCCAAAUGGAUUUCAGUGGGUUUUCAGUUUUUAAGGUAAAGUUCCAAUUCCUUAGCUUGGUAUGCUGGAUCGCUACCUCUGUACCUGCCUCUGGCUGAUGGCAAGAGACUCGUUUCUCUCAGCUUUCCUUAUCUAUGUACAGUGCGGCUCUCACCACUUUGCGUCACUGCUGAACCUGCAUGUUUCGUACCAUCUCACAUACUGUUCUUUUGGACUCCUCCGUCUCCCGCUCCUUUAUCUGGCUAACUGCUGUGGAACCCUUAAAACCAAGGUCAAGGAAAGCCUUCCUCCUAGAAGCCACCCUUGAUUCUCUUAAGCUGAGAUGGCUGACCCUCCUCUGUGCUUCUCACUGUCCAAUGCUUCCCUCUCUCCUUGUACUUACGCCCCAACCCCCCGCUGCCUUAUCAUUGCUGCAGCUCUCUCUGUUCCUCCACAAAGAACUGGAAGGUCCUCAAGGACUAUGGAAGGAAGGCGGGAGAGGAAAGAAAGGAAGGGAUGAGAGAACUAUGUCCAGAUACUCAUGUUGCAACAGAAGAAAGGGUGGGGGGAAAAUGUAAUUGUAAUGUAUACAUGUAAGGAUAACCUGACCCCCUUGCUGUACAGUG
rnacentral:lncRNA from 1 species